GUGGCUUCCGGAGCUAACGCGUUAAGUCGACCGCCUGGGGAGUACGGCCGCAAGGUUAAAACUCAAAUGAAUUGACGGGGGCCCGCACAAGCGGUGGAGCAUGUGGUUUAAUUCGAUGCAACGCGAAGAACCUUACCUACUCUUGACAUCCAGAGAACUUAGCAGAGAUGCUUUGGUGCCUUCGGGAACUCUGAGACAGGUGCUGCAUGGCUGUCGUCAGCUCGUGUUGUGAAAUGUUGGGUUAAGUCCCGCAACGAGCGCAACCCUUAUCCUUUGUUGCCAGCGAUUCGGUCGGGAACUCAAAGGAGACUGCCAGUGAUAAACUGGAGGAAGGUGGGGAUGACGUCAAGUCAUCAUGGCCCUUACGAGUAGGGCUACACACGUGCUACAAUGGCAUAUACAAAGAGAAGCGACCUCGCGAGAGCAAGCGGACCUCAUAAAGUAUGUCGUAGUCCGGAUCGGAGUCUGCAACUCGACUCCGUGAAGUCGGAAUCGCUAGUAAUCGUGGAUCAGAAUGCCACGGUGAAUACGUUCCCGGGCCUUGUACACACCGCCCGUCACACCAUGGGAGUGGGUUGCAAAAGAAGUAGGUAGCUUAACCUUCGGGAGGGCGCUUACCACUUUGUGAUUCAUGACUGGGGUGAAGUC
rnacentral:rRNA from 1 species